rnacentral:rRNA from 1 species
CUGACGAGCACGCCGCGUGAGUGAGAGGAUUUCGGUUCGUAAAGCUCUGUUGUUAGGGAAGAAUGAUUGUGUAGUAACUAUACACAGUAGAGACGGUACCUAACCAGAAAGCCACGGCUAACUACGUGCCAGCAGCCGCGGUAAUACGUAGGUGGCAAGCGUUGUCCGGAAUUAUUGGGCGUAAAGCGCGCGCAGGUGGUUUAAUAAGUCUGAUGUGAAAGCCCACGGCUCAACCGUGGAGGGUCAUUGGAAACUGUUAAACUUGAGUGCAGGAGAGAAAAGUGGAAUUCCUAGUGUAGCGGUGAAAUGCGUAGAGAUUAGGAGGAACACCAGUGGCGAAGGCGGCUUUUUGGCCUGUAACUGACACUGAGGCGCGAAAGCGUGGGGAGCAAACA